rnacentral:rRNA from 1 species
GACGAACGCUGGCGGCGUGCUUAACACAUGCAAGUCGAACGGAAAGGCCCUGCUUUUGUGGGGUGCUCGAGUGGCGAACGGGUGAGUAACACGUGAGUAACCUGCCCUUGACUUUGGGACAACUUCAGGAAACUGGGGCUAAUACCGGAUAGGAGCUCCUGCUGCAUGGUGGGGGUUGGAAAGUUUCGGCGGUUGGGGAUGGACUCGCGGCUUAUCAGCUUGUUGGUGGGGUAGUGGCUUACCAAGGCUUUGACGGGUAGUCGGCCUGAGAGGGUGACCGGCCACAUUGGGACUGAGAUACGGCCCAGACUCCUACGGGAGGCAGCAGUGGGGAAUAUUGCACAAUGGGCGGAAGCCUGAUGCAGCAACGCCGCGUGCGGGAUGACGGCCUUCGGGUUGUAAACCGCUUUCGCCUGUGACGAAGCGUGAGUGACGGUAAUGGGUAAAGAAGCACCGGCUAACUACGUG